GACGAACGCUGGCGGCGUGCCUAAUACAUGCAAGUUGAGCGCUGAAGGUUGGUACUUGUACCGACUGGAUGAGCAGCGAACGGGUGAGUAACGCGUGGGGAAUCUGCCUUUGAGCGGGGGACAACAUUUGGAAACGAAUGCUAAUACCGCAUAAAAACUUUAAACACAAGUUUUAAGUUUGAAAGAUGCAAUUGCAUCACUCAAAGAUGAUCCCGCGUUGUAUUAGCUAGGUGGUGAGGUAAAGGCUCACCAAGGCGAUGAUACAUAGCCAACCUGAGAGGGUGAUCAGCCAGAUUGAGACUGAGACACGGCACAAACUCCCACGGGAGGCAGCAGUAGGGAAUCUUCGGCAAUGGACGAAAGUCUGACCGAGCAACGCCGCGUGAGUGAAGAAGGUUGUCGGAUCGUAAAACUCUGUUGGUAGAGAAGAACGUUGGUGAGAGUGGAAAGCUCAUCAAGUGACGGUAACUACCCAGAAAGGGACGGCUAACUACGUG
rnacentral:rRNA from 1 species